rnacentral:rRNA from 1 species
AUUGAACGCUGGCGGCAGGCCUAACACAUGCAAGUCGAGCGGAUGAAGGGAGCUUGCUCCUGGAUUCAGCGGCGGACGGGUGAGUAAUGCCUAGGAAUCUGCCUGGUAGUGGGGGAUAACGUCCGGAAACGGGCGCUAAUACCGCAUACGUCCUGAGGGAGAAAGUGGGGGAUCUUCGGACCUCACGCUAUCAGAUGAGCCUAGGUCGGAUUAGCUAGUUGGUGGGGUAAAGGCCUACCAAGGCGACGAUCCGUUACUGGUCUGAGAGGAUGAUCAGUCAACCCGGAACUGGAGCAAGGGCCCGACCCCCAACGGAAGCCAGAGUUGGGGAUAUUGGGCCAUGGGGCGAAACCUGAUCCAGCCAUGCCGCGUGUGUGAAGAAGGUCUUCGGAUUGUAAAGCACUUUAAGUUGGGAGGAAGGGCAGUAAGUUAAUACCUUGCUGUUUUGACGUUACCAACAGAAUAAGCACCGGCUAACUUCGUG